AUUGAACGCUGGCGGCAUGCCUUACACAUGCAAGUCGAACGGUAACAGGCCGCAAGGUGCUGACGAGUGGCGAACGGGUGAGUAAUGCAUCGGAACGUGCCCAGUCGUGGGGGAUAACUGCUCGAAAGAGCAGCUAAUACCGCAUACGACCUGAGGGUGAAAGCGGGGGACCGUAAGGCCUCGCGCGAUUGGAUCGGCCGAUGUCAGAUUAGCUAGUUGGUGGGGUAAAGGCCUACCAAGGCAACGAUCUGUAGUUGGUCUGAGAGGACGACCAGCCACACUGGGACUGAGACACGGCCCAGACUCCUACGGGAGGCAGCAGUGGGGAAUUUUGGACAAUGGGCGCAAGCCUGAUCCAGCAAUGCCGCGUGCAGGAAGAAGGCCUUCGGGUUGUAAACUGCUUUUGUCAGGGAAGAAAUCUUCUGGGCUAAUACCCCGGGAGGAUGACGGUACCUGAAGAAUAAGCACCGGCUAACUACGUGCCAGCCGCCGCAGUAAAAC
rnacentral:rRNA from 1 species